UUUGGAAUAUUCCACAAUGGGCGAAAGCCUGAUGGAGCGACACCGCGUGAAGGAUGAAGGUCUUCGGAUUGUAAACUUCUUUAGACCUAGAUGAAGACUGCAGGGUAAAUAAUCCUGCAGUUUGACAGUAUAGGUAGAAUAAGCCACGGCUAACUCUGUGCCAGCAGCCGCGGUAAUACAGAGGUGGCAAACGUUGUCCGGAUUUAUUGGGUGUAAAGGGCAUGUAGGCGGUCUUGUAAGUCAAAGGUGAAAUGGCCCGGCUUAACCAGGUCAUUGCCUUUGAAACUGCAGGGCUUGAGUACGGAAGAGGAAAGCGGAAUUCCCAGUGUAGCGGUGAAAUGCGUAGAUAUUGGGAGGAACACCGGUGGCGAAGGCGGCUUUCUGGUCCGAAACUGACGCUGAGAUGCGAAAGCCAGGGGAGCAAACGGGAUUAGAUACCCGGGUAGUCC
rnacentral:rRNA from 1 species